rnacentral:misc_RNA from 1 species
UUGACAUUUGUUUCGGACAGACAAUUAAAGACUCGGAGCAUAAAGGCGGCGCCUCUCGACGCCGAAGCACGUCUCGUGUCCACAGUGGUUUGAGGGUAGAAGAUCAAGGAUGAUCAUUCGUUAAUGAUCCCUCCGCAGGUUCACCUACGGAGA